rnacentral:rRNA from 1 species
GCGGCAAGAGCUCAAAUUUGAAAUCUGGCUCCUUCGGGGCCCGAGUUGUAAUUUGUAGAGGAUGCUUCGGGCGUGGCCGCGGUCUAAGUCCCCUGGAACGGGGCGUCGCAGAGGGUGAGAAUCCCGUCUUCGGCCGGCCGGCCCCGCCCGUGUGAAGCUCCUUCGACGAGUCGAGUUGUUUGGGAAUGCAGCUCUAAAUGGGUGGUAAAUUUCAUCUAAAGCUAAAUACUGGUCGGAGACCGAUAGCGCACAAGUAGAGUGAUCGAAAGAUGAAAAGCACUUUGAAAAGAGAGUUAAACAGCAUGUGAAAUUGUUGAAAGGGAAGCGCUUGCGACCAGAGUCGGCCGCGGGGGCUCAGCGGGCACUCGUUGCCCGUGCACUCCCCCGUGGUCGGGCCAGCGUCGGUUUCGACGGCCGGUCAAAGGCCCCCGGAAUGUGUCGCCUCUCGGGGCGUCUUAUAGCCGGGGGUGCAAUGCGGCCAGUCGGGACCGAGGAACGCGCUCCGGCACGGACGCUGGCUUAAUGGUCGUAAGCGACCCGUCUUGAAACACGGACCAA